GCAAUUGGUAUUCGUGGCAGAAAAAACUGAGGAGCGCGGUACUCUGAAAAACGUUUUCUUGGUCGAACCGAUUUGUCAAACAUGAAAUGAUGAAUUUGGCACAAUAAAUUGCAGUGAUCUUAAACAUAAUAUUCUCUUUGUUAUAACAUGAAAAUUGCUGGGGGGACCAGAAAAUGAUGCACUCGUUAGAGAAUAACUAUCUCAGUGCCAUCAGGGUCCUGUGACGACGAGGAAAAUGUGAAGAAAGUUGACGAAUGAAAUGAAGAAAAUUUUAGCAAUAGCAACUGGAUAUUCGCCGAUUACUAUCUUCCACGUUACGAGAUUGCUUCAAGAUGUACGAGCCGAAGAACUCCAAAUUCUUAAGAAACUAUCGCAACGUUCGCGACGAUAGAUUCGUCGACGUGGAAGAUAUCACUACGGUUUACAAACAUCCGGAUCUCGUCUACAUCUGCGAAUACAUAAAGGACCGGUUUUAUUUCGCGACGCUAGCCAAUGGGCGGAAUUAUGCGAGAAACACACCGAACAUUCACUGUUUCACCACCGACGAUGAACUGGUCUACAAUAAUUUUUACAAUGACUUUGGACCGCUCAAUCUCGCCUGUCUCUACAAAUAUUGCUGCAUGGUGAAGAAGAAGCUGCAGAGCCCAUCUAACAAGCACAAUCAAAUAGUGCACUAUACUUCGCAAAGAGAAGAUAAGAGAGCGAACGCUGCUUAUUUGGCAGCUUCGUAUGCUGUGUUGUACUUGAACAAAAGCCCCAAGGAGGCUUACAACAUUCUCUUCAUUGGGAGUGAUUUAGCAAUAGCACCGUUCCAAGACGCUUCAAUGGGCUCUUCUAUUUACCACAUCCACAUACUCGAUUGUUUAAACGCACUCCAAAUGGCAUCCUCUUUUGGGUUUUUUUAUUUCGACGACUUCGAUCUCUUCGAAUACGAAAAGUACGAGGACAUGAGGAAUGGUAACAUAAACUGGUUGGUACCGCAGAAGUUCCUGGCAUUUGUGGGUCCCAGUACUGAACCGGGAACCCCAUACCAUCCCCCUGAAUGUUACAUUGAUUUCUUUUUACAAAAUGGAGUCACCGCUGUGGUUAGAUUGAACAAGAAAGUAUACGAUGCAUCGAGGUUCACGACUGCAGGCAUUUCUCACUAUGACAUGUUCAUGCCAGACGGCACCGUUCCACCAAAAAGGGUUCUACAUCAAUUUCUUACGCUGAGCGAAAACACCACCGGACCGAUAGCAGUCCACUGCAAGGCUGGACUCGGCAGAACUGGUUCCCUAAUUGCGGCCUACUUGAUAAAACAUUACAAAAUGUCUGCAAGAGAAGCCAUCGCUUGGAUAAGGAUUUGUCGACCCGGUUCUGUUAUCGGGCAUCAGCAAACGUGGCUGGAGAAUGUGGAGAAAAAUUUGUUGAUCGCUGGCGAACAGUACAAAUUAAAGUAUUUUGGUAAUAUGCACCACAAAAGAGGAAUAUAUUCAAUGUUGGACAAGAUAGAAAGAAACAAACAUGGAUUACCGCGGAUUGAAGGCACAGAGCCAACGAGAUACGACGAUGCGCCUCCAGAAAAAUCGACCAAGACAAAAUUCACUCGAAUUCUAGGAAAAUUAAGGAACAUUCGAGGAGCAGAUGAUUCGGAAAAGGAAUCACAAAGUACACGCAGCAUGACACAAGGAGACCGAUUGAACGCGAUCAAAAUGAGCAGAUACAAGCAGCCUCGAAGUUCGGAGUCACAGAAGAAUUGCCAGACCUACGAGCAAGAUGGUGUCCGAAGCCCACAUAAAAGGAAAUAAAACAGGAUAGCGCUUGUUAGGAACAUUCUGCUAGACGAGCUGUGCUGAGGCGUUUUUGACCCGUUUCAUUUGUAAAAGAGAAAAAAAGGGUUGAAGAUGAAGGAGUGAUAUUCAGAAUGGAAUCGUUGCUGCUGAGGAGGGAUGAAGAUCCGAGGAAAACAAAUUGGCCAAGAGAGUGGCUUGAAUCGAUAAAAUAAUGGUAUUGACUAAAAUAGUCUCGCCUUAUGAAAUCGUUGUUGAUAUAUACAAAUCGCGCCGCCGUGCCUACUCACAUUAUGCAAUCAAUAAUGAUAACCGCAUCGUCGAACAUACAGUCGAGCCUCCAGAUACGUCAAACACGCGCAACUCUAGUUGAUUGUUGCGUGUGCGUCGCAACUAUUUGUGCAGAGGGUAUUUGCAAAGCUUGCAGACAUUGGGUCGACAUUAUAGAUAAUCCAAACGCGAAGAAAAAAAAGUCAAGAAGCGGCAAAUUAACUUGAAUCGAUUGGCGUGAUCGUUGAUCAGGACAAAAUCCACAGAUCCAAAUUUUAACGUUAAUAAAUUCAAAGGGAUCGGGUUUACAUACGAUGAUAUACAAGUUUUCGAUCAUUAUCAUGGAAUGUAUUCUUUCCAAGAAACUGGAUACCACGAUGACAUUUGACACCUUUGCUGAAACAAAUUCAUGGGAUUACCCGAAAUAUCAGAGUAGAAAAAAUAAGCGAUAACGUGGCCCAAUGACUUCGUGAACCAACGAGUUAAAAAAAAUAUGCGGCAUCCAUGCUAUCGAUCAUCGGUGAAAAUAAUAAUAAAAGUUUCUGUUCAGCGAUUUGAGAACAGUUUCUUUAAACAAAAUUUGAAUCAGUAAAGAAACACAAUAAGACAAA